rnacentral:rRNA from 1 species
GACGAACCGAGCGAACGUUGUUCGGAAUCACUGGGCUUAAAGGGCGCGUAGGCGGGUGCUAAAGUCUGUGGUGAAAUCCUCCGGCUCAACCGGAGAACGGCCAUGGAUACUGGGUGUCUCGAGGGUGAUAGGGGUAUGCGGAACUAUCGGUGGAGCGGUGAAAUGCGUUGAUAUCGAUAGGAACUCCGGUGGCGAAGGCGGCAUACUGGAUCACUUCUGACGCUGAGGCGCGAAAGCCAGGGGAGCGAACGGG